rnacentral:rRNA from 1 species
AGCGAACGCUGGCGGCAGGCCUAACACAUGCAAGUCGAACGAUCCUUCGGGAUAGUGGCGGACGGGUGAGUAACACGUGGGAACGUACCCUUAGGUUCGGAAUAACUCAGGGAAACUUGAGCUAAUACCGGAUGUGCCCUUCGGGGGAAAGAUUUAUCGCCUUUAGAGCGGCCCGCGUUAGAUUAGCUAGUUGGUGGGGUAAUGGCCCACCAAGGCUACGAUCUAUAGCUGGUCUGAGAGGAUGAUCAGCCACACUGGGACUGAGACACGGCCCAGACUCCUACGGGAGGCAGCAGUGGGGAAUCUUGCGCAAUGGGCGAAAGCCUGACGCAGCCAUGCCGCGUGAAUGAUGAAGGUCUUAGGAUUGUAAAAUUCUUUUAGCAGGGACGAUAAUGACGGUACCUGCAGAAAAAGCCCCGGCUAACUUCGUGCCAGCAGCCGCCGUAAGAC